CUUUAGCUGCUUCUUCCCGCCUCCCCCACCAAUAGCAGAUCUUCGUCUCCUUAGCAGCGCACACCUGGGUCUUUGCCGUCAAAGUCACUCGUCGCCAUCACUGUCGCUCGUCGCCAUCACCAUUUCUGCUGCGCUACAGUGUCUUGUAAGGCUUUCUUUCUCGGGCCACCAUGGAAUUCUAGAAUGCUUGUUGAAGUACCAAUGAAAGGCAAGCUUUUCUAAUUUGACAUCUGGUCAACGAGCUCCGGUUGCGAGUGCCGAGUAGCAGCAUUUGGUCGACGAGCGACGAGUAGCAUCUUCUAGUCAUUUUAAUCUGUUUGGCUAUGAGCAAGAAUCAGAUUACUCAAAUGGGCAUGCAUCGACAGUUAGUUAGCUCUGCUAUUGUUUCAAAUUUGAAAACU